rnacentral:miRNA from 1 species
UCCAGUUUCUAUUUCACGGACGUCA